rnacentral:rRNA from 1 species
GUCUACAGCCAUGCCACCCUGAACAAGCCCGAUCCUGUCUGAUCUCAGAAGCUAAGCAGGGGUGGGCCUGGUUAGUAUUUGGAUGGGAGACCACCGUGUCAGCUUACAAUCCCUUAUUUU